rnacentral:rRNA from 1 species
GACGAACGCUGGCGGCGUGCCUAACACAUGCAAGUCGAACGAGGUCCAAGGGAGCUUGCUCCCUGACGACCUAGUGGCGAACGGGUGAGUAACACGUGAGAAACCUGCCUCGGAGUGGGGAAUAACCCGGGGAAACUCGAGCUAAUACCGCAUACCUUCAGAUGGUCGCAUGGCCGACUGAAGAAAGAAUUUCGCUCUGAGUGGGUCUCGCGGCCUAUCAGCUAGUUGGUGGGGUAACGGCCGACCAAGGCAACGACGGGUAGCUGGAUUGAGAGAUCGAUCAGCCACACUGGGACUGAGACACGGCCCAGACUCCUACGGGAGGCAGCAGUGGGGAAUCUUGCGCAAUGGGCGAAAGCCUGACGCAGCAACGCCGCGUGCGGGAUAACGGCCUUCGUGGUUGUAAAUCGCUUUCAGCAGGGACGAAAUUGACGGUACCUGCAGAAGAAGCUCCGGCUAACUACGUGCCAGCAGCCGCCGUAA